AUUUUAAAAGAUUCGGCUCUGUAUUAUUUGAAUCAGUCUGCCAAGAAUCCCUGUAUAUAUUUGAAUUAAUACCAUCCUUAUAACAGAUGGUGGCCUCUGGCAUAGAUGAGACAAAAGUGGAGACUAUGAGAAAUUUCCUUUCUGUUUACGCUAAGAUACUAGCUGCCCCUAUAUAUCCACUAAGGAAAGUGUAUUAAAAUCAAGACGGAUAGAAAUCAAAAAACAUAGAAGCACACCAUGGCAUCGGAAGCAGAAACUUCAGAGUCAGUUACAGAGCUA